rnacentral:lncRNA from 1 species
GGGAAGGAGCCGACCCCCAGCCCUGCCUGCGCUCACCCAGGGCAGCCAGCACGGUCACAGCCACGAUGAGCAGCACGGAGAAGACAUAGAGGACUUUGAUGGCCGUCUGCAGGGACAGGUUCUUCUGGCACUGGCUGCAGCCACCUCGUGCCCUGCCUGAGCAAGAGAGGGAUGGAUCAGAGUUGUACCACAGGGAGGGAAGAGGUCCUCUGCUGAAAGGCAAUACGAGGAGCAGGUCGGUGCCACCACAGCCCCAGCAGGGCUGAGGGGAGAGCCUGACUGCAGUGACACCCUCCUGGGUCAAAAUCCCUUCCAAGGAUUCACCAAACACUUGCACAGGGCACGGAGCAGAUCUAAGCCCCAAAAGGAAAGCGGUGGCUCCCCAAAAGGUGCUGCAGUCCAAUGUCAGCACAGCUCUGGAGAUGUCACCCAAAGCCUGGUGGCAGCUCUGGUUCUGCAGGGCUUGGCCAGAACCUCUGAGCCUGCUUCAUUCCCAAAAAUAAUAUCAUUUCUGAGCUGUCCCAUCC